GACGUAGGGCGCGAGCGUUGUCCGGAUUUAUUGGGCGUAAAGAGCUCGUAGGCGGCUUGUCGCGUCGAAUGUGAAAACUCGGGGCUCAACUCCGAGCUUGCAUUCGAUACGGGCAGGCUAGAGUUCGGUAGGGGAGACUGGAAUUCCUGGUGUAGCGGUGAAAUGCGCAGAUAUCAGGAGGAACACCGGUGGCGAAAAGCGGCUCUCUGGGACGGUACUGACGCUGAGACGCGAAAGCGUGGGGAGCGAACAGG
rnacentral:rRNA from 1 species